GACGGCUCAGCGGGAUGCGAAGCCCUCUCCAUCAUCUGCUGCUCUUUGAUUCGAUCCAUCCUUUUUAUUCUCUUGUUCUCAUCUAUUUUUCCUUGAGUUUGUAGUUCGAUUUUGAUCUGCGAUCAUUCUAGUUCUUCGGUUUCUGCUUCGGACCACGGAUUUCCCCAUUUUAUGAGGGUUUCGAUCGUCUGCCGCUGGAUCCGGCGGUUGAAUGAUCGAUUCCGGAUUUUGAUGACGCCCUCUGAAGUCGCAUGCGUGGUUGACAACGAGAGAGAGCACGCCGGUCCGCAAUCAUGCGGGCGGCCAUGGUUGUGUGUACCAGCGUGCUCUUUCUCGUCGUCACCUGGCUCGCUCGCCCUCGCGACGAAGCGUGUUCUGUGUCUAGAAGCCCUCUAGGUUAGUUCUUAUCACUUCGAUCCUUGGUUGUUCACUAGAAUCGGUUUGCUUUCAGUUUGAUUUAGGCGAAGUUGAGAACUUACAUGCUGCCGCUUUAUGCUUCUUCUUAUGCUCGCAUACAUUCUAUGUUGAAGCUAGUAGAUAUCUUGAUGAAUCGUUUGAGCUUCAUUCUUUCUCUAGAAAAGGUGCCAUUUUCUUCACUCUAUUACUAGUGAAAGCUCUACUUUAUAGUUCUAUAGAUACAAUGUAGCUGAAUGAAAGCAUGAUUAACUGACCUGGUGCCCAACGAUGUUGAUGCUUAUUUCCAAUUAGUGUACAAGUUGUAGCGAAGAUCCAUCUGUCAUGUUUCCCUUUUCGGAACCAAGAGAAGAUAUGCAAAUGAAUUGGAUGAGGUGAACAUAGCGUGAGGAAUAUCCAAGGCACAUAAACUUAUCAAUAAAAUUUCGAAUUCUAUGUUCUUUAACAUACGGGAGAAUCCCCAUCUUUACCAACUUUUUCUUUGUGCUGCACUUUAAUGGUGUUUGUCCUAGUAACGGAUUAAUGACACUGCAGUAGCAGAAUAGUCUCCAAUUCAUGUUGUUGUGUUAUAGCUGUUAAUACUGUUGCGCUAGUUUGGGUUUAAAAGAUUGUAUUGGCAAUUUUAAUAAAGUUUCUUCCUGCCUCGUAUUUCUCCUUGAAUUUGAAGUCAAAUGAGUUUCUUUUGGUUCUAGAUUUGUCAGAGAUUCUUCCCUAUUGCAUACAACAACUGUGAACCAUACAUAUGCCUGCCUCUAUUCCUGUUGGAUGAAUAAGCUUGAAGGCAUUGUGCCUGCAACUUGUCUUGUGUAUACACAUCGCAGGAAGGAUGUAAUUUGUAUUCUGCAAAAAAGUACACACAGCUUGAAACUUCCAAGGAUUGAGGCUCUUUUGAAUUUGUAUUUUUCUCAUAUACUUCAAUUAUAUAAAUUGACUAUUUCAUUUUUACGAUUCAUUUCCUAGCCUUUUUAACCUAUGCCUUGUCUGUUUGUUUUAGUAUGUUGAAGAGGUAAGUCAGAAUGUCACUUAUACAGUGGUAAAAUGGUACACUGUCGGCAUCAUUAUUUAGCCAACUUUUUGUGUCUUGGCGUUUUAUUCGUAGGCUGAUCUAUUGUGGCUUGGCUUCUUCUCUACAAGCUGGACUUUUUCUCCACUAUAACGUAAUCACUGCUGUUGGUUUGAAUUGAAGGAAAGAAGAGAGAGUUGUGUUAAAUCUAUCAUGCCAGGAGAAUGUAAUCAAUAAAUUUUCAUCUUCAGGGCAAGCCAGCACAUUGUCUUGUUACCUGGGCAAGAACUUCAUCUUCUGACUGUUUUUGGGAAAAGGUUUGCCUCUGAUCUGGACUUUUUGGUUCACUGUGAUGUGAAUGGGAUUGGAUGUAAUCUCUCUUUUUUAUCAUCUUAAUAUAAUUUUCACCUUUUUGGAAAUUAUAUCAUAUUUACAAGAAAACAAAUAAGUUUUCAUGUAGGAAAUGAAUAUAAAAUAUGAUACAAAUUAUGUAAAGAGAGGCAGGUGUUUGAACCAUGUUUCUUUGCCCAUGCUCUCUUCUCCUAUCUUUCUCUUAUUGUUGUGCCAGUAUGAUUUCUUGUAUCAGAUGAUUUGUAUAACGUUUUCUUUUACAGGUUAUAACCUGAACUUGUCA